rnacentral:lncRNA from 1 species
AAGCAAUUUCUUCAUAAAUUGUUUUUUGGUUUUGUGUUUUUUCAGGCCUACAGCGCAUUUCUCCAAGCCUCAGGAGUGGGACUUCUCCCAACAGAUUUCAUUUCCAUAGUAGGCAAACCCACAGCAGAUAAAAAUAAUCUCAAUGCAGAUGCAUUGUCCAAAAAGGACCUGGAUAAUUCAGUACACACACCACUGACAGAAAUGUUCAGAAACACCAGCAAGAUAUCAAAAGGAAAGAAGGUCAAUCUCAUUAGACUGGCUAAGAUCAUUUAAAGGAGAAAAAGCAUGAUGUUGAAAGAAUGGUCAGUGUCUUUCUAUGCAGGAAGAUCUCUGAGUUUAUCUAAAUCUCCUGAAGGUAAGCUUGAGCACUUAGGCUAUUAACCAGAUGAUACAGAGUAAUGGAAAAUAUUUUGCAAGGAGAAACAAUCUGCCAGCAGUUCAGUGGUCAUGUAAAACACAGUCACUGUAUGGCAUUCAUUUUGUUCUUUGAAGUUUCUUUGCUUAUGCUUUAUUAUCUUAAAAUACCUCCUUAAUGGCUGGGAGAGAAAAAAAGAUAGUUUGCACCAGUGCAAUUAUCAAUAUGAAUUAAGCUCAGGGGCCUUGAGUCUGACAUUUGAUUGCAAAUGUGAAAUGGACAGUGUGCUUGAAUGAUUUGAUUUUCUUUACAAACUCCAUGAAAAGUAACUUGUUUAGUUUCCUUGCAAUUUUGUGUAAAUCCCAAGAUGAAAAUGUCCCCUCUAAUGGAGAGAAAAGAAAAAAGUCUAACCAGCUGAAUUCACAUGUUUACAAUGUUUGAUUCCAUUCACUGAGUUUCACUGUUUUAUUUGGAAGUGUCUUUAAGCAAUUUAUGUAACAUAAUAGAUACCAGUUGUAAUAAUUUUGGGCAUGGGAGUUAUAUAGACUCAUUCUCUGAUGCUAAUAGUCCAGCUACACUUAAUAACUAAUUAGCUUUGUUUAUAACAAAAUCAGAUACCAAAACAAAAGCACCCCUAUGACAAGCAUCAGGCUAAGGAUAAGCCCUACCUGAUUUCCAACAUCUGCUCAGAAGAUAUCUACAUGAAAAGGGUCGCACUGACUCCCAGUUGACAUAAUUCAUCUUAUCCCAAUCCCCUCUUUGGAGGCAUUCCAGAUUUCUACACUCUGAAAAUAUCUUUAUUGCAGAGAGCUGGGAACAGCUUGCUCCAAAACCUGCCCAAUGAUUUCCUGCUGGGGGAAUUCAUUCAACAACUUGUGACUCUAUACUAGGUCCUGUUUAACUCAGAAGCCCCUCUUG